rnacentral:misc_RNA from 1 species
AUGGGUGCCCCGACGUUGCCCCCUGCCUGGCAGCCCUUUCUCAAGGACCACCGCAUCUCUACAUUCAAGAACUGGCCCUUCUUGGAGGGCUGCGCCUGCACCCCGGAGCGGAUGGCCGAGGCUGGCUUCAUCCACUGCCCCACUGAGAACGAGCCAGACUUGGCCCAGUGUUUCUUCUGCUUCAAGGAGCUGGAAGGCUGGGAGCCAGAUGACGACCCCAUUGGGCCGGGCACGGUGGCUUACGCCUGUAAUACCAGCACUUUGGGAGGCCGAGGCGGGCGGAUCACGAGAGAGGAACAUAAAAAGCAUUCGUCCGGUUGCGCUUUCCUUUCUGUCAAGAAGCAGUUUGAAGAAUUAACCCUUGGUGAAUUUUUGAAACUGGACAGAGAAAGAGCCAAGAACAAAAUUGGUCUUACUCUGUCACCCAGGCUGAGUGCAGUGGUGUGAUCUUGGCUCACCUCAGCCUCGACCCCCUGGGCUCAAAUGAUUCUCCCACCUCAGCUUCCCAAGUAGCUGGGACCACAGGCAAAGGAAACCAACAAUAAGAAGAAAGAAUUUGAGGAAACUGCGGAGAAAGUGCGCCGUGCCAUCGAGCAGCUGGCUGCCAUGGAUUGAGGCCUCUGGCCGGAGCUGCCUGGUCCCAGAGUGGCUGCACCACUUCCAGGGUUUAUUCCCUGGUGCCACCAGCCUUCCUGUGGGCCCCUUAGCAAUGUCUUAGGAAAGGAGAUCAACAUUUUCAAAUUAGAUGUUUCAACUGUGCUCUUGUUUUGUCUUGAAAGUGGCACCAGAGGUGCUUCUGCCUGUGCAGCGGGUGCUGCUGGUAACAGUGGC